rnacentral:miRNA from 1 species
GUGCUCACAACACAAUGGAAGUAUGUCUUUUCACUUUGCUCUAAUCAGCAUUUUGCUAAGUGAAUUCACAUGCUUCGAUUGUUUUGUUUGGAGCAUC